rnacentral:miRNA from 1 species
UUGGGGUUGUCUUUUUUAUUAUUGAUAUGUAGAAGUUAAAAAUGUAUAUGUAUGUAUAUAUAUAUAUAUAUAUAUAUAUAUAUAUACAUAUACAUUUUUAACUUCUACAUAUCAAUAAUAAAAAAGACAACCCCAA